rnacentral:rRNA from 1 species
UACGAAGGGGGCUAGCGUUGCUCGGAAUGACUGGGCGUAAAGGGCGCGUAGGCGGACGGCUUUGUCGGGCGUGAAAUUCCAGGGCUUAACCUUGGGGCUGCGUUCGAGACGGGUUGUCUAGAGUUUGGAAGAGGGUCGUGGAAUUCCCAGUGUAGAGGUGAAAUGCGCAGAUAUCAGGAGGAACACCGGUGGCGAAGGCGGGUCUCUGGGCAGUAACUGACGCUGAGGAGCGAAAGCGUGGGGAGCGAACAGG